UACGUAGGGUGCAAGCGUUGUCCGGAAUUAUUGGGCGUAAAGAGCGUGUAGGCGGCCCGACAAGUCCGCUGUGAAAGUCCAGGGCUCAACCCUGGAAUGCCGGUGGAUACUGUCGGGCUAGAGUCCGGAAGGGGCGAGUGGAAUUCCUGGUGUAGCGGUGAAAUGCGCAGAUAUCAGGAGGAACACCAAUGGCGAAGGCAGCUCGCUGGGACGUGACUGACACUGAGACGCGAAAGCGUGGGGAGCGAACAGG
rnacentral:rRNA from 1 species